rnacentral:rRNA from 1 species
GAUGAACGCUGGCGGCGUGCCUAAUACAUGCAGGUCGAACGCAUAGCGAAAGGUGCUUGCACCUUUCAAGUGAGUGGCGAACGGGUGAGUAACACGUGGACAACCUGCCUCAAGGCUGGGGAUAACAUUUGGAAACAGAUGCUAAUAUCGAAUAAAACUUAGUGUCGCAUGACACAAAGUUAAAAGGCGCUUCGGCGUCACCUAGAGAUGGAUCCGCGGUGCAUUAGUUAGUUGGUGGGGUAAAGGCCUACCAAGACAAUGAUGCAUAGCCGAGUUGAGAGACUGAUCGGCCACAUUGGGACUGAGACACGGCCCAAACUCCUACGGGAGGCUGCAGUAGGGAAUCUUCCACAAUGGGCGAAAGCCUGAUGGAGCAACGCCGCGUGUGUGAUGAAGGCUUUCGGGUCGUAAAGCACUGUUGUAUGGGAAGAACAGCUAGAAUAGGAAAUGAUUUUAGUUUGACGGUACCAGACCAGAAAGGGACGGCUAAAUACGUG